GUCGAACGAUGAAGCCCAGCUUGCUGGGUGGAUUAGUGGCGAACGGGUGAGUAACACGUGAGUAACCUGCCCUUAACUCUGGGAUAAGCCUGGGAAACUGGGUCUAAUACCGGAUAGGAGCGUCCACCGCAUGGUGGGUGUUGGAAAGAUUUAUCGGUUUUGGAUGGACUCGCGGCCUAUCAGCUUGUUGGUGAGGUAAUGGCUCACCAAGGCGACGACGGGUAGCCGGCCUGAGAGGGUGACCGGCCACACUGGGACUGAGACACGGCCCAGACUCCUACGGGAGGCAGCAGUGGGGAAUAUUGCACAAUGGGCGCAAGCCUGAUGCAGCGACGCCGCGUGAGGGAUGACGGCCUUCGGGUUGUAAACCUCUUUCAGUAGGGAAGAAGCGAAAGUGACG
rnacentral:rRNA from 1 species